rnacentral:rRNA from 1 species
UACGAAGGGGGCUAGCGUUGCUCGGAAUCACUGGGCGUAAAGGGUGCGUAGGCGGGUCUUAAGUCAGGGGUGAAAUCCUGGAGCUCAACUCCAGAACUGCCUUUGAUACUGAAGAUCUUGAGUUCGGGAGAGGUGAGUGGAACUGCGAAGUGUAGAGGUGAAAGUUCGUAGAUAUUCGCAAGAACACCAGUGGCGAAGGCGGCUCACUGGCCCGAUACUGACGCUGAGGCACGAAAGCGUGGGGAGCAAACAGG